UACACUCCUACGGGAGGCAGCAGUGGGGAAUAUUGGACAAUGGGCGCAAGCCUGAUCCAGCCAUACCGCGUGAGUGAUGAAGGCCCUAGGGUUGUAAAGCUCUUUCACCGGUGAAGAUAAUGACGGUAACCGGAGAAGAAGCCCCGGCUAACUUCGUGCCAGCAGCCGCGGUAAUACGAAGGGGGCUAGCGUUGUUCGGAUUUACUGGGCGUAAAGCGCACGUAGGCGGACUAUUAAGUCAGGGGUGAAAUCCCGGGGCUCAACCCCGGAACUGCCUUUGAUACUGGUAGUCUUGAGUUCGAGAGAGGUGAGUGGAAUUCCGAGUGUAGAGGUGAAAUUCGUAGAUAUUCGGAGGAACACCAGUGGCGAAGGCGGCUCACUGGCUCGAUACUGACGCUGAGGUGCGAAAGCGUGGGGAGCAAACAGGAUUAGAAACCCCGGUAGUCCC
rnacentral:rRNA from 1 species